GACGAACGCUGGCGGCGUGCCUAAUACAUGCAAGUAGAACGCUGAAGGAGGAGCUUGCUUCUCUGGAUGAGUUGCGAACGGGUGAGUAACGCGUAGGUAACCUGCCUGGUAGCGGGGGAUAACUAUUGGAAACGAUAGCUAAUACCGCAUAAGAGUAGAUGUUGCAUGACAUUUGCUUAAAAGGUGCAAUUGCAUCACUACCAGAUGGACCUGCGUUGUAUUAGCUAGUUGGUGGGGUAACGGCUCACCAAGGCGACGAUACAUAGCCGACCUGAGAGGGUGAUCGGCCACACUGGGAGUGAGACACGGCCCAGACUCCUACGGGAGGCAGCAGUAGGGAAUCUUCGGCAAUGGACGGAAGUCUGACCGAGCAACGCCGCGUGAGUGAAGAAGGUUUUCGGAUCGUAAAGCUCUGUUGUAAGAGAAGAACGAGUGUGAGAGUGGAAAGUUCACACUGUGACGGUAUCUUACCAGAAAGGGACGGCUAACUACGUG
rnacentral:rRNA from 1 species